AGCUCCAGGGUGUUACACGUAAGAUUGCAAAUCUUGAGAGGCAGGUUAACGCCUGCUGGGGCUU
rnacentral:tRNA from 2 species